UACGUAGGGUGCAAGCGUUAAUCGGAAUUACUGGGCGUAAAGCGUGCGCAGGCGGUUGUGCAAGACAGAUGUGAAAUCCCCGGGCUCAACCUGGGAAUUGCCUUUGUGACUGCAUAGCUAGAGUACGGUAGAGGGGGAUGGAAUUCCGCGUGUAGCAGUGAAAUGCGUAGAUAUGCGGAGGAACACCGAUGGCAAAGGCAAUCCCCUGGACCUGUACUGACGCUCAUGCACGAAAGCGUGGGGAGCAAACAGG
rnacentral:rRNA from 1 species